GGAGUAUCAGCAGAACUCAGUAAAUGGAGAGAUCAUCUCACCCAGCUGUUUGGUGAUCCAGUAUCCUGGAAUAAAAACAGAUAAGAAUUCUAACUGCCCA